rnacentral:misc_RNA from 1 species
GCUACCUCGUGAAUCGAAAGGACUCAUCGUUACUCGUGUUUGUUAGGUUAGAACCGAAUGAGGAUAGGGCGCGUUCUCGAAACAUGGCGUCGAUUUUAUACAUGAAUAUGUACAAAGCACAGUUCAAGCAGUUACUAAUAAAGAGAAUACCAUUAGGCAUUAAGUGUCUAAUCAUUUUUAUGAAUUAAAACAUUGAGAACGUCCAUCGUUUAUGAAAAAAAUUCAGAUAAUAAUACGAUAAAUAAUGAUUCAUCGUUAAGAGAUAAGAUUGUGACAUAAGAGGAUAUUAUAUUAACAAAAUGUAUUUCCUUAUUAUUGUUAUGACUGUAUUGCAAGGUGUCAGAUAUGCUGCUCAAAAUAAUAAAACAUUUGACAUUACAAUAAGAUCAUUUUCAAUUAUAUUCGCUCAUUUAAAUUCACUUUCUUAUUUCUGCAAAAAAUUGCAAAACAGAGAGAAAGAAAGAGAAAAUAACGAUAAAUUAACGGAAUCCUUCUGCCUUUUUAUUCGAGAACCGUGGUAAGCUGUGGUGUCUUUGUUUUUACUGUAAUAGAGCAGAUUCCAAG